rnacentral:lncRNA from 1 species
AGUAAACAUUCAUCUCCCUGACUCAGGCUGCUGCUUAGAAAUUCUGUUUCGGUUGCAGUUCCAUUGUGUGGAGCCAGUACUACAACUUCUGAUGGUUUUUUGUUUGGUAGUUCCUCCUGCAUUCAUUUCUCUUCCUGCUGCCUUGUGAAGAAGGUGCCUUGCUUCCCCUUCACCUUCUACGGUGAUUGCAAGUUGCCUGAGGAUUCCCCAGCCAUGUGAAACUUUCACAGAGUUUGAGAGAAACUGUAUUCAAGUUGCUGAAACCAAGAAGCUACACUCACGAGUCUCACCUAAACUCGAAUCUGAUUUAGAUGACAUCAUCCUGGACUUUGAGUUGAUGAAACCUUGGAGGUCUUGGGAGUAAAGCAAGUGUGAUUUGCAUAUGAUGGAUAUGAAUUGUAAUGGCCAGAGCAUGGCUGUGAUAUUAUAUGGAGAUGGUGUCAAACAACGGGAUGUGCUAUGGAAUUUGAUGUGGAGGCUGAAGGAAAGAGGAAUCUA